CCUGUCCGAGCGUCAUGAGCCCAAUCAAGCUAGCUUUGCUUGGCGUUAGGCCGUGCCAGCAAUGGCAGGCCCUAAAUCCAGUGGCGGCGCCGCGGGCUCUGAACGUAGUAACACCUCCCGUUACGGACGUCCGCGGUAGGCGACCAGGAACCUCGAAACUUGUUGACCUCGGAUCAGGUAGGGAUACCCGCUGAACUUAA
rnacentral:misc_RNA from 1 species